ACCCCUGCCUAGGAGGCCAGUAUCAACAGAUAUUCCUUCAAGCUUCGCCUUAGGCUUGCUUAUUUAGUAUAUUAUCACCUGUUCCCAACAUGCAGCAGGAAAACACUUUUGCUACUUUUCCUUGAAUAGAAGCUUCCAGGGAUCUGACCCAGGAUCUGUCGAAUUGGGCUUGCGGGCCUCCGUUUUGCUAGGGUUCUUUGUCGCAAUUAACGCAGGCACAAGAAGCUACGACCCUUCUCCGUCUCGAGGAAAUGGUCAUCCCACCGAAACCACGGUGCUCGACAUAGGCUAUUCGUCGUCAAUAACACCAGCAGAACGUAGGAUUCUUCCACUCUUCAGGUUAGCCGCCAGGGUUCAUCAGCGCCCUGGCGGCUAAUGGAACGGCCCUUAUCAGAAAUUCUUCAAAGACUACAACUCUGCCCAACUACGGA
rnacentral:sRNA from 2 species